UGGGGAAUUUUGGACAAUGGGGGAAACCCUGAUCCAGCCAUCCCGCGUGUGCGAUGAAGGCCUUCGGGUUGUAAAGCACUUUUGGCAGGAAAGAAACGUCAUGGGCUAAUACCCCGUGAAACUGACGGUACCUGCAGAAUAAGCACCGGCUAACUACGUGCCAGCAGCCGCGGUAAUACGUAGGGUGCAAGCGUUAAUCGGAAUUACUGGGCGUAAAGCGUGCGCAGGCGGUUCGGAAAGAAAGAUGUGAAAUCCCAGAGCUUAACUUUGGAACUGCAUUUUUAACUACCGAGCUAGAGUGUGUCAGAGGGAGGUGGAAUUCCGCGUGUAGCAGUGAAAUGCGUAGAUAUGCGGAGGAACACCGAUGGCGAAGGCAGCCUCCUGGGAUAACACUGACGCUCAUGCACGAAAGCGUGGGGAGCAAACAGGAUUAGAUACCCUGGUAGUCCACGCCCUAAACGAUGUCAACUAGCUGUUGGGGCCUUCGGGCCUUGGUAGCGCAGCUAACGCGUGAAGU
rnacentral:rRNA from 1 species